UGGCGGCCGUAGCGCGGUGGUCCCACCUGACCCCAUGCCGAACUCAGAAGUGAAACGCCGUAGCGCCGAUGGUAGUGUGGGGUUUCCCCAUGCGAGAGUAGGGAACUGCCAGGCA
rnacentral:rRNA from 19 species